rnacentral:rRNA from 1 species
UACGUAGGGUGCAAGCGUUAAUCGGAAUUACUGGGCGUAAAGCGUGCGCAGGCGGUUUUGUAAGACAGGGGUGAAAUCCCCGGGCUUAACCUGGGAACUGCAUUUGUGACUGCAAAGCUGGAGUGCGGCAGAGGGGGAUGGAAUUCCGCGUGUAGCAGUGAAAUGCGUAGAUAUGCGGAGGAACACCGAUGGCGAAGGCAAUGUUCUGGCUCGUUUCUGACGCUCAGGUGCGAAAGCCAGGGGAGCGAACGGG